GCAUCUUUAGUUGAGUGGUACAAUGUAACCUUCCCAAGGUUGAGGCGCGGGUUCGAUUCCCGCAAGGUGCA
rnacentral:tRNA from 1 species